ACCACGAUCCACGAUCUCAAAAAGUCUGAAAACCCUGACGCAGCACCAUCCUCUUGCGCCGCCAGCACCAUCCAUCUUCUCCCUCUCAUCAAGCUGUGAGCAUCAACCACCAUCUCAUACUCCCAUCAAGCUGUGAGCAUCAACCAACGACUGCCCAGCACGGCCAUCCUCUACCUCCUGUCAAGAUUCAAGCAUCAAUAACCGGAGAAGUGAUGUCAUCUCAAGGUGGUGAUUUUUCCACUCCGAUUGGUAGUAGUCAAUCCGCUAUAGGAAUUAGUUGCUCACUAACUCCACUCGAUUCUCCUAUUGAGUCACCAAAUGAGUCACCUAUAAACACUUCUACUCAAGUUUGUGAAGAAACGACACAAGUUGGUGAUAAGAGAUUGAAAUCAAUUGUUUGACAAUAUUUUAAAAAGAUCAAAGUUGGUGAAUCUGAAAAAGCGGAAUGUAAUUAUUGUAAGAAAUUACUUGAAGAAGGAAGCAAGAAUGGAACAAGAUACUUGCAUGACCAUCAUAAAAUUUGCAAAAUGAGGCCUUUUAACAAUAUAAGACAAAAAACAUUAGUGCAACAACUAUGGAAGGCGGAUGGAAAAAUGUGUGUAAGCAAUUACACAUUUGACCAAGAAUCUUCAAGAAAGAAUCUUGCUAGUAUGAUAGUAAUGCAUGAAUACCCACUUUCAAUAGUUGAACAUUAUGGGUUCAAAAAAUAUUCGGCAAAUCUUCAACCAAUGUUCAAAAUUCCUUCUCGGAACACAAUAAUAAAAUGAUAUCAUGAAGAUAUAUGCUAAUGAAAAAUCCAAGAUAAUGAAUAUUUUGAAUAAGAAUUUAAGUAGGGUUGCAAUAACUACCGACAUGUGGACGGCUUCAAAUCAAAAGAAAGGAUUCAUGGCUAUCACGGGACAUUUUAUUGACAACAAUUGGAAUUUGCAAAGUUUGGUUUUGAGGUUUGUUUAUGUGCCUUGUCCACAUACAUCGGUCGCUCUCUCUAAAGAAUUGUUAAAAUGCAUAUUUGAUUGGAACAUGGAAAGAAAGUUGUCCGCUUUGACGGUUGAUAAUUGCACUACUAAUGAUGUUAUGGUUGACAUCCUAGUGUCUAAGCUCAAUCCUAAUCAUCUCUUGUUGCAUGGAAAAUUGAUUAAUAUGCGUUAUUGUGCACAUAUUUUGAAUUUAAUUGUUCAAGAUGGGUUAAAGAUUAUGGGUGAUGGAAUAGAGAGGGUUAAAGAUAGUGUUUCUUUUUGGACGGCCAUACCAAAAAGGCUACAAACUUUCAAGGAAAAUGUGCAAAUUUUGAACAUAAAUUAUUCCAAACAAUUGCUGCUUGAUUGUAAGACUCGAUGGAAUUCUACAUAUUUGAUGCUUAGUGUUGCUUUGGAAUAUAAAGAUUUUUUUUUAUCGUUUGCAACAAACGGACCCACAUUUUAUUUCUACACCAACUCAAGAAGAUUGGAUGCUAGCCAAGGAGAUUUGUAAAAAGUUGCAUGUGUUUUAUAUCGCUUCAAAUGCAUUUUCGGGAAGAAAAUAUCCCACAUCCAAUGUUUUCUUUCCAUUGAUGUGUGAGAUUAAAGUUUGUUUGAGCACUUGGGUUAAAUCUCCUAUUGAAACUAUUAGAAAUAUGGCCACAAGCAUGUCAAUAAAAUUUGAUAAAUAUUGGGAAACGGUUCAUGGAAUCAUGGGAGUAGCUACUAUACUUGAUCCAAGGUAUAAGUUGAAAUCAAUGGAAUAUUUUUUUCCUCGUCUUUAUGGGCAUUCAGCCGAUUAUGAAAUUCAAAGGAUUACAAGUUAUUGUUAUGACUUGUUACAUGAAUAUGAAAGUUCUACACAAAUUGGCAAAAUUACCCGACAAACUUCAUGCAACGAGCCAAAGGAGAAUGAUAUUAUUAAUUCAAGCUUUCUUGAUGGUUUUGAUUCCUAUGUGAGUGAUUCAAAUAAAAAUAUAUUGAAGUCGGAGUUAGAUCAUUAUUUGGAGGAAAAAGUCUUGCCAAGAACUCCGGAUUUUGACAUUUUAGCUUGGUGAAAAAGUUGUGGACUCCGUUAUCCGAUUUUACAAAUGAUCGCUAAAGACAUCUUGGCUAUUCCAAUUUCUACUGUGGCUUCAGAAUCUGCUUUUAGUACUGGUGGUAGAUUGGUGAGUCCUCAUCGUACUAGGCUUCAUGCGAAUACUUUGGAGGCAUUGAUGUGUACUCAAAAUUGGUUGUUGAAAGAUAUUGAAGGUGACUGUUCCAAAAAAGAAUAUGCAUAUGGAACUAUUAAUGAAGAUGUUGAGAGUGAAGAAGAGUUGGAAUAAAAAAAGGUGCUUGCAUUGCAGCUGAAGAUGAAUGUUCAUUGAAAAGAUUUGGAUUUGAUGAUAUAUAAGAUGAAAGCUUAUUUUGUUGUGGAUAAGAAGUACCAGUGCAUUUGAUGAAGAGAUUUGCAUUUAAUGAUAUAUAUUAGAUUUUGAUUUGAUGAUGAAUGUUCAUUGAAGUUA